GACGAACCGAGCGAACGUUGUUCGGAAUCACUGGGCUUAAAGGGCGCGUAGGCGGGCGGCCGCGUCCGGGGUGAAAUCCUCCCGCCCAACGGGAGAACGGCCUCGGAUACGGGCGGCCUCGAGGGGGGUAGGGGCAGGCGGAACUGUGGGUGGAGCGGCGAAAUGCGUUGAGAUCCACAGGAACUCCGGUGGCGAAGGCGGCCUGCUGGACCCCUCCUGACGCUGAGGCGCGAAAGCCAGGGGAGCAAACAGG
rnacentral:rRNA from 1 species